UCUAAAGUUCAGUGGUCGACUUUGCAUUUUACCCAAGUUUUUUAUAUUUUCACCUGGACCAUUUUCUCAUGUGAAAGAGAACUUUCUUUUAUUUUUGAUUUGGGUAAAAUGCAUAUGUUGCCCCUGAAUUUUAGAAAUUUUUGGACAUUGAACCCAUUUCUUUUGGUCAACCCAAAUCGAGCCCCUUUUUGUUAAAAAAAUUGGAUAUUGAGCCCCCAAGUGCGGUGAUCUGCCUACGCGUCACCGCUGACGUGUACUUUUUCAAAAUUAAUUCUCAAAAAUAUGUUACU
rnacentral:lncRNA from 1 species